AGAAUCAGCAUGUCAAAAAGAGACCGUGAAUAGUGAUGAGAGAUGAAAGACAUGUCUAAAAAAUAUGUAAUGAAUAACUCCCUUUGACUGAUAAUGUAGAUAUUAUUAGUGAAGGCAACAUUCAAGGAAAGAGAAAAAGACGGUCCUGAUUCACAUGUUUAAGCUAAUUGGAGUAAGUAUUAUUGUUGGUCUCGUUUCUAAGGAACAGAAGUAUUGGGUGUUUGGGGUUAUCUGUUCAGAUUAGAAUUUCAAUUAGAAUAGAAGGCUCACGCCUGUAAUUCCAGCACUUUGGGAGGCCCAGGCAGGCGAUCACCUGAGGUCAGGAGUUCGAGACCAGCCUGACCAACAUGGAGAAACCCCGUCUCUACUAAAAAUACAAAAUUAGCGAGGCGUGGUGGUGCAUGCCUGUAAUCCCAGCUACUCUGGAGGCUGAGGCAGGAGAAUUGUUUGAACCCGGGAGGCAGAGGUUGCGAUGAGCUGUGAUCACGCCAUUGCACCCCAGCCUGGGCAACAAGAGUGAAACUCCAUGUCAAAAAAAAAAAAAAAAGAAUAGUUGUGACAUUAAACAUAGGAGAGAGAAGGGUAAAUUGGCAUGGAGGAGCAAAGUGAAGUCACGCAUUGAACAGGGACGACAGAGAAAAACAUGCACGAAGCAAAAAUUUUCUUAUAAACAAAAAAGGAAUAAAUACAUCUUUAUAUCAGACCCUCUAGAUUCAUGUUUCUGUAGCUCACUGGUGGUGCUUGAUUUUCUGUAAAGUAGUCCUUAGACAGUUUGCUCAUGGAAGCAAGUAAAUGAGUUUUAAUUUUUGCUUUAUACAUUUUACAAAUUUAAAAGGUCAGAUCAAUUAUGAUUUUCACAUAAAUCUCAUUUCUUUCUUUUUUUU
rnacentral:lncRNA from 1 species